GUGGGGAAUCUUCCGCAAUGGACGAAAGUCUGACGGAGCAACGCCGCGUGAGUGAAGAAGGUUUUCGGAUCGUAAAGCUCUUUCGUUAGGGACGAACGUGCUCUUUGUGAAUAAUGAGGAGUAAUGACGGUACCUAAAUAAGAAGCCACGGCUAACUACGUGCCAGCAGCCGCGGUAAUACGUAGGUGGCAAGCGUUGUCCGGAAUUAUUGGGCGUAAAGAGCGCGCAGGCGGGAUAUCAAGUCUGUCUUAAAAGUGCGAGGCUCAACCUCGUGAGGGGACAGAAACUGGUAUUCUUGAGUGUCGGAGAGGAAAGUGGAAUUCCAAGUGUAGCGGUGAAAUGCGUAGAGAUUUGGAAGAACACCAGUGGCGAAGGCGACUUUCUGGACGAUGUCUGACGCUGAGGCGCGAAAGCUAGGGGAGCGAACGGGAUUAGAUACCCCAGUAGUCC
rnacentral:rRNA from 1 species